AUACGUAGGGGGCGAGCGUUGUCCGGAAUGAUUGGGCGUAAAGGGCGCGUAGGCGGCCCGGUAAGUCUGGAGUGAAAGUCCUGUUUUUAAGAUGGGAAUUGCUUUGGAUACUGUCGGGCCUGAGUGCAGGAGCGGUAAGUGGAAUUCCCAGUGCAGCGGUGAAAUGCGUAGAGAUUGGGAGGAACACCAGUGGCGAAGGCGACUUACUGGACUGUAACUGACGCUGAGGCGCGAAAGUGUGGGGAGCAAACAGGAUUAGAUACCCUGGUAGUCCACACUGUAAACGAUGAAUGCUAGGUGUAGGGGGUAUCGACCCCUUCUGUGCCGCAGUCAACACAAUAAGCAUUCCGCCUGGGGGGUACGGCCGCAAGGUUGAAACUCAAAGGAAUUGACGGGG
rnacentral:rRNA from 1 species